AGUCAGCACGCUGUGAGGAAGCCAAGGCCAUGGGGGAAGGCCCACAGGACAGAUUCUGAGACCUGGUCCUCAACCCUUGAAUCGGGAGAGAGCCACGGCACAGCUGACAGUGAUCCCCACACAGACUGCAGCCAGUGGGAUGUACUGUGACAAGCAGCAAGAAGGUCACAUUUCCCAGGUCCUGAGCUGAGAACAAGUCAUGGCGUAUCACUAGCCAGGAAAUUUUAGCUCAGCAUAUGGCCACUCAGACUAAAGUCUGGCCAAUAAAAUAAUGUGGAGGAUGUCAUCUGGGAGCAUGAGAGAGACGCCACCCUAGGGAGGGCCAAAGUAGGAGCUUAGGUCCCUCAGGACACAGUGGAACAAAGCUGCCACACCAACUUUGGGGCUAUAUGGGGCGAUAUGAGGCCAUCCAUACCACCACGUUUCAUAGAGGAGAGAGAGGAGAGAUGCAGUGAACCCAAGUCUUCCACAUAACAACCCUCCAUGUCAGUUGGCAGGAAACUACAAGGACAUUCUCAAUUUACGGAAGCACAAAGGUGGUAGUGGUUUAGAAAGGCCAAAUCCAAACCCCAUUCUCGGGGUUUCCUCUUCCAACUGACUCUUAAGUACCUUCGUUUUCCAGUAUAAUUCUAAAGCCAAGGACACUGGGCAAGCUUUCCUUUAGCUACAAAGCAAUACUCAGUGAAACUUCCAACUCAGGUCUACUUAGAUCUUUAAAAAGGAAAAUUCGAAGAAAAGGGGGAAUAGCAGGAGGAAGAUGAGGAGGAAAUAGAAAAAAAGGAUAAAGAAGAAGUGGGAAAAGUAAGGCAAAGAAACAUGCUGGCCCUCACAUGAUGAGGGCUGACAUUGGAACAUAAAUCUAAGAAAAAUAUCUGUUUCACCUACCUGCCUGGUUGGGAAUUCAAACAUUAGUAAUUUAUUUCUUUGAGCUAAACCAAGAGUCCAUGCAUACCCAGUUAAAAUGCAAAUAGCCCUAGAAAGUAAAAUACCAAACUUCAGCUCUUAUUACAAUUUAAUUCAUCAAAUAUAAGCAAUUUGGUCAACUAAGCAGGCCCUAGGGAGGCAGACACUAGUCUGGUGAGUUGUGACAUGCAAGGUCAGAAAGAUUCAGGAAAUGGGAGCCAAGGCUUCUGAUCAUUAGUGUUAGAACCUGGGGGAUCUGGCGUAAAAGGCACAUGGAACAGCAGAGGUCACUGACAGGAGGACAGAGAUUGCAAACCCUGACCCAUCCAUGGCCCAUAGCCACCCUGCACACAACCUGCAUUAUGUCAUCAAUCCAUAAAAAUAUAGUAGUUCCUUUUCUCCACUCUUUUGCCCAAACUGCAUAUUGAACUUCUAUCACUUUACCAUAAACUUGCUCCUUCAGAUUAUCUGUAUUAACCUCUCGAAGAUGCGAAGAACGCAACAUGUCACUGUCACUUCAACACUCAUGUUUUAUUAAGAUCAGCUUCUCUUCCCUGGUCCUAGUGAGCUGUUGGCCUUCCAGUUUACUCGACCCAAUAGUAAUGAAAUAAACCAUUAAAUCUUGGGACUUUUAAAAUUUAACUUGACAGUCAGGCAGUGGAAAGUCAGUGCUUAACAACAGAUCUCAGAAAUUUAUGAAUACCAGGAA